rnacentral:other from 1 species
AUUUCUCUGAGAUGUUUGCAAGCGGGCCAGUCCCCUGAGCCGAUAUUUCAUACCACAAGAAUGUGGCGCUCCACGGUUGGUGAGCAUGGUUGGGUCCGAGAAGCUUUAAAACCGUGACGACAUAUUCACCUUAACCAAGGGUUCAAGGUUACAGCCUGCGGCGGCAUCUCAGAGAUUCC